AGCAUAUCAAUAAGCGGAGGAAAAGAAACUAACAAGGAUUCCCCUAGUAACUGCGAGUGAAGCGGGAAGAGCUCAAAUUUGAAAUCUGGCAGUUCUUUGACUGUCCGAGUUGUAAUCUAGAGAAGUGCUGCCUGUGCUGGACCAUGUACAAGUCUCCUGGAAUGGAGCAUCACAGAGGGUGAGAAUCCCGUCUUUGACAUGGACUACCUGUACAUUAUGGUGUGCUCUCAAAGAGUCGAGUUGUUUGGGAAUGCAGCUCAAAAUGGGUGGUAAAUGCCAUCUAAAGCUAAAUAUUGGCGAGAGACCGAUAGCGAACAAGUACCGUGAGGGAAAGAUGAAAAGAACUUUGGAAAGAGAGUUAAACAGUACGUGAAAUUGCUGAAAGGGAAACGCUUGAAGUCAGUCGCGUUGGCUAGAAAUCAGCCUUGCUUUUGCUUGGUGUACUUUCUGGUUGAUGGGUCAGCAUCAAUUUUGACCAUUGGAUAAAGUCUUUGGGAAUGUGGCAUCUUUGGAUGUGUUAUAGCCCAUUGUCACAUACGAUGGUUGGGAUUGAGGAACUCAGCACGCCGCAAGGCCGGGUUUCGACCACGUUCGUGCUUAGGAUGCUGGCAUAAUGGCUUUAAUCGACCCGUCUUGAAACACGGACCAAGGAGUCUAACAUGCCUGCGAGUGUUUGGGUGGAAAACCCAUGCGCGUAAUGAAAGUGAAAGUUGAGAUCCCUCUAAUAAAGGGAGCAUUGACGCCCGGACCAGACCUUUUGUGACGGAUCCGCGGUAGAGCAUGUAUGUUGGGACCCGAAAGAUGGUGAACUAUGCCUGAAUAGGGUGAAGCCAGAGGAAACUCUGGUGGAGGCUCGUAGCGAUUCUGACGUGCAAAUCGAUCGUCAAAUUUGGGUAUAGGGGCGAAAGACUAAUCGAACCAUCUAGUAGCUGGUUCCUG
rnacentral:rRNA from 1 species